AUCAACUUAAAUCAAAUAGAAACCCCCUUUUUAAACCCUAAAAGGAACAUUUUCUUUCUUUCUUUGACACUGCGCCGUAAUGAUCUCCUUCUGCCCUUCCAAUCUCCUCACCUCUCCGACCAGAUAACAACGAUAGAGGGUGCUCGACCACUCUCUCGAAGGUGGAACGUGCGUGGUGUGCGAGGAAACUGCUGAACGUGGGCGAUGUCUGCGGGGCUGUGGAAACCGCUUGCUGCUGCAGUAUUGAGACGAAAGGGCUAGGUUUUUUUUUGAUGGGUUUAUUGGGCUAGGUUAGAUCUAUUUUGAGUGGGCCGGGUAAAAUUCAGUCAUUAAAGAAAAUCUUCAUUUCGAGAAAAUAAUAUGUCAUGCCCAAUACGUUAGGACACCAUAAAUAAAGUUCCCGAAAAUGAUUUUUUUAUA